rnacentral:rRNA from 1 species
CUACGGUGGAUACGUUCCCGGACCUUGUACACACCGCCCGUCAAGCCAUGGAAGCUGGGUGUACCUAAAGUCGAUAACCGUAAGGAGUCGCCUAGGGUAAAACUAGUAACUGGGCU